rnacentral:rRNA from 1 species
UACGUAGGGCGCAAGCGUUGUCCGGAAUUAUUGGGCGUAAAGAGCUCGUAGGCGGUUUGUCGCGUCUGCUGUGAAAUCCCGAGGCUCAACCUCGGGCUUGCAGUGGGUACGGGCAGACUAGAGUGCGGUAGGGGAGACUGGAAUUCCUGGUGUAGCGGUGGAAUGCGCAGAUAUCAGGAGGAACACCGAUGGCGAAGGCAGGUCUCUGGGCCGCAA